rnacentral:rRNA from 1 species
ACGGGAGGCAGCAGUGGGGAAUAUUGGACAAUGGGCGAAAGCCUGAUCCAGCGACGCCGCGUGAGUGAAGAAGUAUUUCGGUAUGUAAAGCUCUAUCAGCAGGGAAGAUAAUGACGGUACCUGACUAAGAAGCACCGGCUAAAUACGUGCCAGCAGCCGCGGUAAUACGUAUGGUGCAAGCGUUAUCCGGAUUUACUGGGUGUAAAGGGAGCGUAGACGGCAUGGCAAGUCUGAAGUGAAAGCCCGGGGCUUAACCCCGGGACUGCUUUGGAAACUGCUAAGCUAGAGUGCAGGAGGGGUAAGUGGAAUUCCUAGUGUAGCGGUGAAAUGCGUAGAUAUUAGGAGGAACACCAGUGGCGAAGGCGGCUUACUGGACUGUAACUGACGUUGAGGCUCGAAAGCGUGGGGAGCAAACAGGAUUAGAUACCCUGGUA